rnacentral:rRNA from 1 species
GACGAACGCUGGCGGCGUGCUUAACACAUGCAAGUCGAACGGAAAGUCCCUGCUUUUGUGGGGUGCUCGAGUGGCGAACGGGUGAGUAACACGUGAGUAACCUGCCCUUGACUUUGGGAUAACUUCAGGAAACUUGGGCUAAUACCGGAUAGGAUCUCCUGCUGCAUGGUGGGGGUUGGAAAGUUUCGGCGGUUGGUGAUGGACUCGCGGCUUAUCAGCUUGUUGGUGGGGUAGUGGCUGACCAAGGCUUUGACGGGUAGCCGGCCUGCGAGGGUGACCGGACACAUUGGGACUGAGAUAAGGCACAGACUACAACGGUAGGCAGGAGUGGGGAAUAUUGCACAAGGGGCGGAAGGCUGAUGUAGCAACGCCGCGUGCGGGAUGACGGCCUUCGGGUUGUAAACCGCUUUCGCCUGUGCCGAAGCGUGAGUGACGGUACCGGGUAAAGAAGCACCGGCUAACUACGUG